ACGAGAGUUCGUGCAUUAGCCAAUCCGCUUGUAGCAGAUUUUCUUGUACUAAAAUAAUAUUCUAUCGACUAGGUGUUCAUUACAUUCAGUAUUCUUGUGACGAUUACAAUGGCUGCAUUGCGAAUGUUUCUUAUUCUGGUUGUUUUCGGCUUGGCGGCUGCCAUGCCUGUUCAAGAAGGUGGUGCUGAUGGGGCGUCUUGCUACAUCUAUCAUGGCGUGACUGGCACCUGUCAUAGUGAAUGUGGAGACGAUUACAAGGUGAUGCUUGGAAUGGGUGUGUGCCAAGGACUCAAGUGCUGCUAUCAAACUCCAUGGUAAAAAGCCGCAAGAACGUCAUGCUACCAGACGAUGAAUAAAAGCUGCGAGAAAAAUUAA